AACGAACGCUGGCGGCGUGCUUAACACAUGCAAGUCGAACGAGAACGGAUUAUAGCUUGCUAUAAUUGUCAGCUAAGUGGCGCACGGGUGAGUAAUGUAUAGUUAAUAUGCCUCUUACUAAGGGAUAACAAAUGGAAACGUUUGCUAAUACCUUAUACUCCUUAUUAACAGAAGUUAAUAAGGGAAAGAUUUAUUGGUAAGAGAUUAGCCUGUAUUGUAUCAGUUAGUUGGUGGGGUAAUGGCUUACCAAGACUAUGACACAUAACUGGUUUGAGAGGAUGAUCAGUCACACUGGAACUGAGACACGGUCCAGACUCCUACGGGAGGCAGCAGUGGGGAAUAUUGCACAAUGGACGAAAGUCUGAUGCAGCAACGCCGCGUGGAGGAUGACACAUUUCGGUGCGUAAACUCCUUUUAUAUGAGAAGAUAAUGACGGUAUUAUAUGAAUAAGCACCGGCUAACUCCGUGCCAGCAGCCGCGGUAA
rnacentral:rRNA from 1 species